rnacentral:rRNA from 1 species
UACGUAGGGGGCAAGCGUUGUCCGGAAUUAUUGGGCGUAAAGAGCUCGUAGGCGGUCUGUCGCGUCUGCUGUGAAAACCUGGGGCUUAACCCCGGGCCUGCAGUGGGUACGGGCAGACUAGAGUGUGGUAGGGGAGACUGGGAAUUCCUGGUGUAGCGGUGAAAUGCGCAGAUAUCAGGAGGAACACCAGCGGCGAAGGCAGCUCUCUGGGACGUUACUGACGCUGAGACGCGAAAGCGUGGGGAGCAAACAGG